CUGGAGCUCAGCCUGGAGGAUCUCACUCAGACAGCUUCCUUGGGGAUAGUCUUGUGAGAGGUUUGAAUUGAAAUGGAACCAAUUGAAACGUCAAAGGACAAGCCACACUUUCAUCUGAUAAGCCAGAUGCUAACAACUGAUAUAAAUCCAUGCUCUUUAAAAUUGGGGCUCUCCAGAGCAGAAGGAAAACACUUCUGGCAGGAUAGAGUUUUAGAAGAUGAAGCUUUAUGAACAAAAAGAGAAAUCUUUCACUUGUCUUCAGCUCUCCAUCAGGAGUAUCAAUGGGGCUCAACCAAGCCUUGAGAAAAGUUCUCUGCACACAGCAGACAUUUAAUAAACGUUCGUUAGACUGGAUAAAAUUGGAGAUGACCAAGUAUCCCAUGAAUUGGUGUUUUUUUGUUACUUUGGAAGAACAUAGUAAAACAAAUUAAUCAACUCCUUUGUUUAAUUUAUUGGAGAAGCACUGUCCAACCACCUUUCUAGUUAAGUAAAACCUAUUUAAAUCUUCAUUCAUAGAAGAAAUGUGGAUAUAGUAGAGUUCUCAUCUGGCAAUGUUCACAAAAAGCAUAAGUAAAAAGAACAUUGUAGAAAUAAUUACAAAUUGAACUCCUAUGUUUAUUGCUGAAGACAAAGCAAUGGAU
rnacentral:lncRNA from 1 species